AUUGAACGCUGGCGGCAGGCCUAACACAUGCCAGUCGAGCGGAUGAAGGGAGCUUGCUCCUGGAUUCAGCGGCGGACGUGUGAGUAAUGCCUAGGAAUCUGCCUGGUAGUGGGGGAUAACGUCCGGAAACGGGCGCUAAUACCGCAUACGUCCUGAGGGAGAAAGUGGGGGAUCUUCGGACCUCACGCUAUCAGAUGAGCCUAGGUCGGAUUAGCUAGUUGGUGGGGUAAAGGCCUACCAAGGCGACGAUCCGUAACUGGUCUGAGAGGAUGAUCAGUCACACUGGAACUGUGACACGGUCCAGACUCCUACGGGAGGCAGCAGUGGGGAAUAUUGGACAAUGGGCGAAAGCCUGAUCCAGCCAUGCCGCGUGUGUGAAGAAGGUCUUCGGAUUGUAAAGCACUUUAAGUUGGGAGGAAGGGCAGUAAGUUAAUACCUUGCUGUUUUGACGUUACCAACAGAAUAAGCACCGGCUAACUUCGUG
rnacentral:rRNA from 1 species